UGCAAUUUCUUUUAUGUUACAGAAUCUCUGUUACCAAUUCUCAAGGCGACCUAUUGUAUAUUCUUCCCUCCUUUGUCGAUUGGAUUCAGACCGGUUUUCUAAAGACAUAAGAGAGGAUUAAGAGACGUUUCGACACCUACCGAAGGGUUUUGGGAAGAACGGAGACUCCACCCUGAGUGAACCAAAAGUUGACGCUUGACCAGAAAAACUAAAAGAUAAGUAGCAAGCCAAAAAAACGAUACUGGAGGCUGACGAAAGCUAAGAGAUGUCAAGCAGAAAAGAAUGAGAUAAGUUAAAAUCAGUAAUUACUUGAACUUAUGAAAAACUUGACGGCCAUACUACCACUUUGUGUACAAGGUACAUUUGUCUGUAGAUAACCCGGGAGCUCCGGUUUUCCAGAUGAGAUAGGGUGGCUUCCUGAUUUCUCCUACAUUCGGCGAUCCUGUGUUCUGGAACAGUCUCUCAUUCUCUUCGUGUGUGUUUCAUCGCAGGGUCCCGGAGAGGGCUGGCGAGAGGUGACAGGAGAAAAGAAACAGUCUGGUCACAUAAGACUGGAGAAUUCCAGAUUAAACAAAACCGGCCAGUUUUCUCUACCGUAUGAUUCCUGAGGUUUCAGUACGGUAAUAGGCAUCAUGAAUCUGUAAGAGGGAAGCUAGUACGGAAGCCUAUUUAUUGGCGCAGGUGUUCUGAGGGACACAUUUGAGAAAGGUGGCUUCUCAGGAUAGAGUGAGAAAUUUUUAAAAGAGGGAGAGGGGGAGAAAAUCUAUUUCUUCCUCCCGGUGGAAGUUGUAUUACCAGCGAAGCCCUUAGAGUCUUUAUCUCAUUUCUUAAUACCGUGUGAAAUAGUCGUUAUCCUGAGAAAACAGACACGGAGAAGCCAAAUCGCCUGUUGAAGAUCAUACAUUUGUAAGUGGCAGAACGAAGAUUUUGAGUCCGGAAGUUCUUGACUCACACCGCGGACCGUGUAUCGUUUUGCAUAGAA